rnacentral:rRNA from 1 species
AAUGAACGCUGGCGGCGUGCUUAACACAUGCAAGUCGAACGAAGCACUUUAUUCGAUUUUCUUCGGAGAUGAAGAUUUAGUGACUGAGUGGCGGACGGGUGAGUAACGCGUGGAUAACCUGCCUUAUACCGGGGGAUAACACUUAGAAAUAGGUGCUAAUACCGCAUAAGCGCACAGAGCCGCAUGGCUUGGUGUGAAAAACUACGGUGGUAUAAGAUGGAUCCGCGUCUGAUUAGCUAGUUGGUGAGGUAAGGGCUCACCAAGGCGACGAUCAGUAGCCGGCCUGAGAGGGUGAACGGCCACAUUGGGACUGAGACACGGCCCAAACUCCUACGGGAGGCAGCAGUGGGGAAUAUUGCACAAUGGGCGAAAGCCUGAUGCAGCGACGCCGCGUGAGUGAAGAAGUAUUUCGGUAUGUAAAGCUCUAUCAGCAAGGAAGAAAAUGACGGUACUUGACUAAGAAGCCCCGGCUAACUACGUGCCAGCCGCCGCAGUAA